rnacentral:rRNA from 1 species
GAUGAACGCUGGCGGCGUGCCUAAUACAUGCAAGUCGAGCGAACAGACGAGGAGCUUGCUCCUCUGACGUUAGCGGCGGACGGGUGAGUAACACGUGGAUAACCUACCUAUAAGACUGGGAUAACUUCGGGAAACCGGAGCUAAUACCGGAUAAUAUCUUGAACCGCAUGGUUCAAUAGUGAAAGACGGUUUUGCUGUCACUUAUAGCUGGAUCCGCGCCGCAUUAGCUAGUUGGUAAGGUAACGGCUUAUCAAGGCAACGAUGCGUAGCCGACCUGAGAGGGUGAUAGGCCACACUGGAACUGAGACACGGUCCAGACUCCUACGGGAGGCAGCAGUAGGGAAUCUUCCGCAAUGGGCGAAAGCAUGACGGAGCAACGCCGCGUGAGUGAUGAAGGUCUUCGGAUCGUAAAACUCUGUUAUUAGGGAAGAACAAAUGUGGAAGUAACUAUGCACGUCUUGACGGUACCUAAUCAGAAAGCCACGGCUAACUACGUG